rnacentral:misc_RNA from 1 species
GAUGAAGAACGCAGUGAAAUGCGAUAAGUAAUGUGAAUUGCAGAAUUCAGUGAAUCAUCGAAUCUUUGAACGCACAUUGCGCCCGCCAGUAUUCUGGCGGGCAUGCCUGUCCGAGCGUCAUUUCAACCCUCAAGCCCCAGCCGGCUUGGUGUUGGGGACCGGCCCCGGCCGCCCCCCAAAUGCAGUGGCGACCUCGCCGCAGCCUCCCCUGCGUAGUAGCACAACCUCGCACCGGAGCGCGGAGACGGUCACGCCGUAAAACGCCCAACUUCUCAGAGUUGACCUCGGAUCAGGUAGGAAUACCCGCUGAACUUAAGCAUAUCAAUAAGCGGAGGA